AGAGUUUGAUCCUGGCUCAGGACGAACGCUGGCGGCGUGCCUAAUACAUGCAAGUCGAGCGGGACUCUUCGGAGUCCAGCGGCGGACGGGUGAGUAACACGUGGGCAACCUGCCUGUAAGACUGGGAUAACUCCGGGAAACCGGGGCUAAUACCGGAUAAGUUGUUCCUCCGCAUGGAGGAACAUUGAAAGAUGGCUUCG
rnacentral:rRNA from 1 species